AACGAACGCUGGCGGCGUGGAUUAGGCAUGCAAGUCGAGCGGGGUAUUCGGUGUAGCAAUAUAUUGGAUACCUAGCGGCGGACGGGUGAGUAAAGCAUGGGCAACCUGCCCUUGAGACGGGGAUAGCCUGCCGAAAGGCGGAGUAAUCCGCGAUGUGUUCGCCCUGCGCAUGCAGGGACGACCAAAGGUGGGGAUCCGAAAGGACCUACCGCUCAAGGAUGGGCCCAUGUCCCAUCAGCUUGUUGGUGAGGUAACGGCUCACCAAGGCUUACGGGUAGCUGGUCUGAGAGGAUGGUCAGCCACACUGGGACUGAGACACUGCCCCAGACUCCUACGGGAGGCUGCAGUCGAGGAUCUUGGACAAUGUGCGAAAGCGUG
rnacentral:rRNA from 1 species